AUUGAACGCUGGCGGCAGGCCUAACACAUGCAAGUCGAACGAGUGGCGGACGGGUGAGUAAUGUCUGGGAAACUGCCUGAUGGAGGGGGAUAACUACUGGAAACGGUAGCUAAUACCGCAUACCAUCAGAUGUGCCCAGAUGGGAUUAGCUUGUUGGUGGGGUAACGGCGCACCAAGGCGACGAUCCCUAGCUGGUCUGAGAGGAUGACCGGCCACCGUGAAACUGAGACACGGUCCAGACCCCUACGGGAGGCAGCAGUGGGGAUUAUUGCACAAGGGGCGCAAGCCUGAAGCAGCCAUGCCGCGUGUAUGAAGAGGGCCUGCGGGUUGUAAAGUACUUUCAGCGGGGAGGCGUUACCCGCAGAAGAAGCACCGGCUAACUCCAUGCCAGCAGCGCGGUAAUUC
rnacentral:rRNA from 1 species